UGUGGCAUCUCUGCAGAGCCUGGAAAUUCACCCAUGUUGCAGGGGCUGUAUUGAAGCUGGUGAGACUGCUCACAGGAGAGAGAUUAAGUAUUCAUGCAAGCAUUUGCAAGGUUUCCAUCAGAGCCUCUGCAGUUGCCAACCACUGAACAUCCCUUGUGCUCUCUGGUUUCUGUGAUCCCUGUAUGUUUGUGAGGAGGAAAAACUGAGCCACUUGCAAACUGAUAAACAGAGGGGCCUCUGUACAGCUGAUGCCCUCAUUUUCUAGGUCAGACUAGCCA